CCCAUAUACAAUCUAUGGGUAAGGGCACUUGGACUGCCAUUGAUUGGAAUUUAUAAUAAUAAUUAUUUCUAUUUUAAUAUAAAAGUAUUUUAAUCAGGAAAGGUACUUCUAGCUUGCCGUUAGUGUCUCGGGGUCUAGAUGUUGGAUAUAUCAUUUCUUUCUUAUAUUUGUUUAAAAAAAUAGAUCAUAUUUGGUUGAUGCGAGUCCCCAUUAUCUUCCUACCAGGGUAUCUGUUAAAGUAAACAGCAGGACAUGCAGCAAAUCAAUACAUAUAUAUGAAAUGUAUCUUUUAUUUUCCAGCGAAUAAUUGUCUCCUUACUAGAUUCCAUGGAUUGAACGUUGUGGUAGUACUAUGAAAUUUAUUCAUGAGACUGUUUUUCAGGAAGAAAAAUUCAUUGGGGUUUUCGAAGUUUAAUGAGGCUUUAGAUUUAAAUGAAACUAAUGCUAUUUACAUACAUACCGGUGCGUCAGGGAAUAUCUCUCUACAACCAAAGCCAUAGAAAUACUUAAAGACAGUGCAUUUUUCCCCAUCUUCUUACCUUAUAGUUCUAUUCUCUAUUUUCCUAUUCCGAAGUCAAUCAUUAUCCCAUUCCGCACUUGGUUACAUUCAGAGCUUUGCUAUCUGAUAGUUAUAUUUGGACGUUUGUCUUUGAUAGUUUCACUCUGACCUUUGUCUGAUG